UACGAAGGGGGCUAGCGUUGUUCGGAUUUACUGGGCGUAAAGCGCACGUAGGCGGAUCGUUAAGUCGGGGGUGAAAUCCUGGAGCUCAACUCCAGAGCUGCCUUCGAUACUGGCGAUCUUGAGUCCGGAAGAGGUGAGUGGAACUCCUAGUGUAGAGGUGGAAUUCGUAGAUAUUAGGAAGAACACCAGUGGCGAAGGCGGCUCACUGGUCCGGUACUGACGCUGAGGUGCGAAAGCGUGGGGAGCAAACAGG
rnacentral:rRNA from 1 species